AGAGUUUGAUCAUGGCUCAGAUUGAACGCUGGCGGCAUGCUUUACACAUGCAAGUCGAACGGUAACAGGCCGCAAGGUGCUGACGGGUGGCGAACGGGUGAGUAAUGCAUCGGAACGUGCCCAGUCGUGGGGGAUAACGCAGCGAAAGCUGCGCUAAUACCGCAUACGAUCUAUGGAUGAAAGCGGGGGACCGUAAGGCCUCGCGCGAUUGGAGCGGCCGAUGUCAGAUUAGGUAGUUGGUGGGGUAAAGGCUCACCAAGCCGACGAUCUGUAGCUGGUCUGAGAGGACGACCAGCCACACUGGGACUGAGACACGGCCCAGGCUCCUACGGGAGGCAGCAGUGGGGAAUUUUGGACAAUGGGCGCAAGCCUGAUCCAGCAAUGCCGCGUGCAGGAAGAAGGCCUUCGGGUUGUAAACUGCUUUUGUACGGAACGAAAAGGCCCUGGUUAAUACCUGGGGCUCAUGACGGUACCGUAAGAAUAAGCACCGGCUAACUACGUGCCAGCAGCCGCGGUAAUACGUAGGGUGCAAGCGUUAAUCGGAAUUACUGGGCGUAAAGCGUGCGCAGGCGGUUUUGUAAGACAGGCGUGAAAUCCCCGGGCUCAACCUGGGAAUUGCGCUUGUGACUGCAAGGCUGGAGUGCGGCAGAGGGGGAUGGAAUUCCGCGUGUAGCAGUGAAAUGCGUAGAUAUGCGGAGGAACACCGAUGGCGAAGGCAAUCCCCUGGGCCUGCACUGACGCUCAUG
rnacentral:rRNA from 1 species